rnacentral:rRNA from 1 species
AUGGAUGCUCAGGAUCACCACAAAACAGCAAAUCCAAUAACAAGCAACCAUCAUAUUGAAGAAGCAGAUGAAGAUGAAGUUAAUGAGGAUAGUUCUGAAUGCAAUAGUGAAUUUUACCUGGACUGCAGUAGUGAUGAGAAUGAAACUGAUGCGGAGGAAGAUUACCUGAAGCAAAAUACAGUAAGUUGUGAACAGUUGUCUGCAGAUCAUGAGUAUUCAGAGUCGCGGCAAGUAGAGCAGAGUUGGCACAACUCUAUUUCAGAUGUUGUGCAAGAAAUGUUGUCAAAUCAAGAAGAACAGAUAGCAUGUAUCAAUGAGCCAGCAUUGCAAGGUCAUGAUUAUGCGGAAACAACUGAUACAUAUGGCACAAGUGGGAGUGACGAAUCAGAGUUUGAAACAGAUCAACAACAAUAUGAAGAAGCACAUAAAAACAACUCUGAUCUUGAUAGCAGUGAUGAGUUACCAGAGUCAGACCAACAAGGUGAGAACAUGCAUCUAUCAGGCAGUCAUGACAUUGGACACCAACAGGAUGAGGCCAACAAUAAAUCAAACAAAGAUAAGAAUAAGUUAUCACAUGAAGAUAUUGAAUUUUUUCUUGAGAAUGAGGUCACAGAGAAGGCGUUGAAACUAAGCCAAGAAGAUGAAAAGAAUCUCAUGGCAACACUAAACAUGUCAUUUGAAAGUGAUGCUGAUGCACACAGAUUCUACUAUGAAUAUGCAGCUAUCGCAGGAUUCUCUAUACGGAAAGCUGCAAACUAUCACUGCCAAAAGAAAGAUGCUGACAACAACAAAAUGACAAGAUUUACUUUGAAGUGCAACAGGUCUGGUAAACCUAGAAACAGGACAAAACCGACAGCAGCAAGAGCAAAGAGGAGAAAGUACAAAGGUGAUAAAAAUGCACCUACUGUGCUUGAGAAUACAACAGAUAGAAGAAGGAAUUACACAAUCAAAACGGGUUGUAAAUCUCAAAUGGUUGUUACCUGGAAAUUUGAGCUCGAACAAUGGGUGGUCACAAGGCUGAUCAUUCAGCAUAAUCAUGAACUCCAUCCACGGGGGAAGUCAUGUUCCUGA